AGUCGAACGCGAAAGAGGGGGCAACUCCUCGAGUAGAGUGGCGAACGGGUGAGUAACGCGUGAGAAACCUGCCUUCAUCAGGGGGAUAACACUCCCAACGGGGCGCUAAUACCGCAUGAGACCACGGGAUCGCAUGGUCCUGAGGUCAAAGGUGGCCUCUAUUUAUAAGCUACCGGAUGAAGAUGGUCUCGCGUCCCAUUAGCUAGUUGGCGGGGUAACGGCCCACCAAGGCGACGAUGGGUAGCUGGUCUGAGAGGAUGGUCAGCCACACUGGGACUGAGAUACGGCCCAGACUCCUACGGGAGGCAGCAGUCGAGAGGCUUCGGCAAUGGGGGAAACCCUGACCGAGCGACGCCGCGUGAGGGAUGACGGCCCUUGGGUUGUAAACCUCUUUUGUUCGGGAAGAAGUGCGAUCAGGUGAAUAAUCUGGUCGUUUGACGGUACCGGACGAAUAAGCUCCGGCUAACUCCGUGCCAGCAGCCGCGGUAACACGGGGGGAGCAAGCGUUGUUCGGAAUCACUGGGCGUAAAGGGCGUCUAGGCGGUCAGGUAAGUAAGACGUGAAAUGCCUCGGCUCACCCGAGGAGCUGCGUCUUAUACUGCUUGGCUUGAGUAUGGGAGAGGAUGUGGGAAUUCCUGGUGUAGCGGUGAAAUGCGUAGAUAUCAGGAGGAACACCGGUGGCGAAGGCGCACAUCUGG
rnacentral:rRNA from 1 species